UAGGUUGUAGCUAAAUUUUAAGCGCUCCAUUUACGCUGGAGGGAUUGUCUUUGUGGGCACUACUUAA
rnacentral:tRNA from 1 species